GGUAGCGUGACCGAGUAGUCCAAGGCGCAGGUUUUAGGCACCAGUCAUUUCGAUGGCGUGGGUUCGAAUCCCACCGCUGCCA
rnacentral:tRNA from 1 species